rnacentral:misc_RNA from 1 species
GAUGAAGAACGUAGCUAAAUGCGAUAAGUAAUGUGAAUUGCAGAAUUCAGUGAAUCAUCGAAUCUUUGAACGCACAUUGCGCCCCCUGGUAUUCCGGGGGGCAUGCCUGUCCGAGCGUCAUUACAACCCUCAAGCUCAGCUUGGUAUUGGGCCCCGCCGACCCGGCGGGCCCUAAAGUCAGUGGCGGUGCCGUCCGGCUCCGAGCGUAGUAAUUCUUCUCGCUCUGGAGGUCCGGUCGUGUGCUCGCCAGCAACCCCCAAUUUUUUUCAGGUUGACCUCGGAUCAGGUAGGGAUACCCGCUGAACUUAAGCAUAUCAAUAAGCGGAGGA